rnacentral:rRNA from 1 species
UAAGCCCAGCGCAUAAUCUCCCGGGAUACCCAGCCUGCGGCGACAUGUUGCGUAAAGGGAAAGGUCGUUACAAAGCCCUGCACAGCGUGUUCCUAAGUUUGGUUUGAGUGUCCACUGUACCAUUAAUACGGGUGCUAUGGUUCCACAGAGGGUGACAGACCCGUCUGGCCACGAGGACAUGUGCAUGGGUUCGGCUUCUAUUCCCUGAGAGUCGCGUUGCUUGAGCAUGCAGCGCUAAGCAGGACGUAAACUCGUCCUAAGGCUAAAUAUUUCCACAGAACCGAUAGUAAACAAGUACCGUGAGGGAAAGUUGAAAAGCACUCUGAAGAGAGAGUCAAAAGACCGUGAAACCGCUCUGAGUAUAAGCCAAUGGUAUCCUGGAAGGUUGGGACUCAUGCUUCCUCGGAGGAGAAAAUUCAGUGUGUGGRAUAGAGAGGGCGUGGUGUGGUAGGACGCGGCAUUGGGUUGCGCGCACCUGGCUGAUUAACUCGCGGGUCUCUGACAGUGGUAACAGGAAAAGCCUUUCUUGAGUGGUGGACCCGAGGCUGGACUUGUGCAAAUGCUCCGGCUCUUACACGACACUAAACGAAAUGGUCAAAAUACAACCCCCCCAAAUCUUUGUUAGGUCACCACCCUGGGAUUUGACUGUGGGGUGUCCUGGCCUCCGACUGGGAUCAUUUCAGCCGCCCACCAGUCCGGCUGACACCCUCGUUUUUCCAGACACGUGUUGUAUGAUCCUAUGCGAAGGUUGCUUUCCUGAUGAUCCUACCCACCUGCACUAUGUCGUGGGUGGAGGGCCCCGAUGAAGCCUAAGUGUGGCAGGCAGCGCUGAUCCCGUUGGUAAGGGAUGAUUGGUGACUUAUUCCAGGGCCAUUGGUCACGUCUCGAAACACGGGCCAAGGAGCAUAGCAUGUGCGCAAGUCAAAGGGUCUCACAAAACCCGGAGGCGAAGUGAAAGCAAAUGGUGUGUCUGUCAGCAGUGAUUUUAUUGCUUGUCAGGCAGCUUGCGGCAGUGUGUGAUUCCUUGCAUGAUCGCUCUGCUCUCGGCUUAUACCGAGCUGAUCCCAAGAUAAUGCCCUGUGGCUGUGUCUGGGCGCAAGCUCCAGGCUCUCCACAGCGCACCUGGUGUGCGUUGGGAGCACUGUGUAGCGUGCAUGCUAUGACCCGAWRGAUAGUGAASUAUGCCUGGCGA